rnacentral:rRNA from 1 species
UACGUAGGUGGCAAGCGUUGUCCGGAAUUAUUGGGCGUAAAGCGCGCGCAGGCGGUCCUUUAAGUCUGAUGUGAAAGCCCACGGCUCAACCGUGGAGGGUCAUUGGAAACUGGGGGACUUGAGUGCAGAAGAGGAAAGCGGAAUUCCACGUGUAGCGGUGAAAUGCGUAGAGAUGUGGAGGAACACCAGUGGCGAAGGCGGCUUUCUGGUCUGUAGCUGACGCUGAGGCGCGAAAGCGUGGGGAGCAAACAGG